rnacentral:rRNA from 1 species
GAUGAACGCUGGCGGCGUGCCUAAUACAUGCAAGUCGAGCGAAUGGAUUAAGAGCUUGCUCUUAUGAAGUUAGCGGCGGGCGGGUGAGUAACACGUGGGUAACCUGCCCAUAAGACUGGGAUAACUCCGGGAAACCGGGGCUAAUACCGGAUAACAUUUUGAACCGCAUGGUUCGAAAUUGAAAGGCGGCUUCGGCUGUCACUUAUGGAUGGACCCGCGUCGCAUUAGCUAGUUGGUGAGGUAACGGCUCACCAAGGCAACGAUGCGUAGCCGACCUAAGAGGGUGAUCGGCCACCCUGGGACUGGGACACGGCCCAGACUCCUACGGGAGGUAGCAGUAGGGAAUCUUCCGCAAUGGACGAAAGUCUGACGGAGCAACGCCGCGUGAGUGAUGAAGGCUUUCGGGUCGUAAAACUCUGUUGUUAGGGAAGAACAAGUGCUAGUUGAAUAAGCUGGCACCUUGACGGUACCUAACCAGAAAGCCACGGCUAACUACGUGCCAGCCGCCGCCGUAA